rnacentral:rRNA from 1 species
GUGCCAGCAGCCGCGGUAAGACGGAGGGUGCGAGCGUUAUUCGGAAUUAUUGGGCGUAAAGAGCGUGUAGGCGGUCGGUCAAGUCAGAUGUGAAAGCCCGGGGCUUAACCUCGGAAGUGCAUUUGAAACUGGUCGACUUGAGUUCGGGAGAGGGAAGUGGAAUUCCGGGUGUAGAGGUGAAAUUCGUAGAUAUCCGGAGGAACACCGGUGGCGAAGGCGACUUCCUGGACCGAAACUGACGCUGAGACGCGAAAGCGUGGGGAGCAAACAGGAUUAGAUACCCUGGUAGUCCACGCUGUAAACGAUGGGCGCUAGGUGUGGGGGGUUUUUAAUCCCUCCGUGCCGCAGCUAACGCAUUAAGCGCCCCGCCUGGGGAGUACGGCCGCAAGGUUAAA